rnacentral:SRP_RNA from 1 species
GCUGGGUAUGGUGGCGCAUUCCUGUAAUCCCAGCUACUUGGGAGGCUGAGGCAGGAUAAUCGCUUGAACCCAGGAGGCAGAAGUUGCAGUGAGCUGAGACUGCACCACUGCUCUCCAGCCUGGGUGACAGAGCAAGACUCUGUCUCAA